CCUACGGGUGGCAGCAGUGGGGAAUAUUGCACAAUGGGCGCAAGCCUGAUGCAGCCAUGCCGCGUGUGUGAAGAAGGCCUUCGGGUUGUAAAGCACUUUCAGCGGGGAGGAAGGCGGUGAGGUUAAUAACCUCAUCGAUUGACGUUACCCGCAGAAGAAGCACCGGCUAACUCCGUGCCAGCAGCCGCGGUAAUACGGAGGGUGCAAGCGUUAAUCGGAAUUACUGGGCGUAAAGCGCACGCAGGCGGUCUGUCAAGUCGGAUGUGAAAUCCCCGGGCUCAACCUGGGAACUGCAUUCGAAACUGGCAGGCUAGAGUCUUGUAGAGGGGGGUAGAAUUCCAGGUGUAGCGGUGAAAUGCGUAGAGAUCUGGAGGAAUACCGGUGGCGAAGGCGGCCCCCUGGACAAAGACUGACGCUCAGGUGCGAAAGCGCGGGGAGCAAACAGGAUUAGAUACCCGGGUAGUC
rnacentral:rRNA from 1 species